UAGCAGGGGCGAAACAGAGAAGGAGAAAGGAAGAAAAGAAAAGGGAAAAAUAAAGUUUUAAAGGUUCCAAGUUAAUUUGCUAAUGUUGUCUCCGGAAACCUCGGCUAAGCAAGGAAAAAAAAUGGCAAAGACAAAGCGAGUUAGCUCGAGAAAAUACGGUUAAGUAAAGAUAGUACAUUGAAUCAGCAUCUCAGUCCGAUCCCGAAUUCAUUAAGGUAAAGUGUGUUAAUUAUUGGUAAUGGCAUGUACCUAGGAUGUCUUAUGUGUAUGUCAUUUUGAAAUUGUAAAUGUAAGGAUGAAAUAAAUAAAUUUAGAUUUGGCUAUGGUAUAAAAUAGGAUUUGACUAAUUUGGUAUGAAUUUGAAUUUUUGUGAGACAA